rnacentral:rRNA from 1 species
UACGAAGGGGGCUAGCGUUGCUCGGAAUCACUGGGCGUAAAGCGCACGUAGGCGGGGCUUUAAGUCAGGGGGGAAAUCCUGGAGCUCAACUCCAGAACUGCCUUUGAUACUGAGGAUCUUGAGUUCGGGAGAGGUGAGUGGAACUGCGAGUGUAGAGGUGAAAUUCGUAGAUAUUCGCAAGAACACCAGUGGCGAAGGCGGCUCACUGGCCCGAUACUGACGCUGAGGUGCGAAAGCGUGGGGAGCAAACAGG